rnacentral:tRNA from 1 species
GGGGCUGUAGCGCAGUGGGUUAACGCCCUGGCCUGAAGCGCCGGCAUCCCAUAUGAGUUUUGGUUCAAGUCCAAGCUGCUCCA